GCCUCCUGCUUCUCUUGUGCAUAUACUGGAAGCAGCGGACGAUCCCCACGAUGAUGCUCCUCUUCGUCUUCCGUCAACAUCGGGCCGCUCGUGUUCUCCUGCACAGGAAAUCAUCCUCAGCGUCAUCUUCACAGACAUAAUUGAUCAAGUGACGAUGAGUAAUGGAUGGGUCCGUGGGAAUGGAAGAAAAGAAGCUACUCCGAGCGAGACUGGUGGGUGGCCCUGAUGGUGAGUCAUGAUUGACUACCUAGCAAGCUAAUUGCAACCACUCCCUGGCCUCUCCCAACUGGUGAUCAGGGCUCCAUCUAAAGAGGUAAUACGGUUCCUCAAUUGUUCCACGAACCGUAGCUAAUCGCCAGUGAUUUUCUUGUUUCUUGUAAACUGAACUGGAAUUGCUUCUUGCGCUUCAUUGUGAGAGGUAGAAUACAGUUUACCAUGGAUGAUUAGUGGUGAACCUGAAAAUGAACUUAGUUUUUGGUUCAUUCCAAUGUAUGGUCAGUAGUGAUGAAUGUCAGUGACGAAUGAACUGCAGAUGAACCUAGCUUUUGUAAGAUUAACUUAGUUUUUGGUUCACUCCAAUGUAUGAUCAUUAGUGAUAGCACGUCUAUUGGUUGUGUAUUUGAUGUGUGCGGAAACAGAGAUGGCAUAAGAACUUUCGGAAAACAAAAAAGGCGUUUGCUACAAAUAACACGGGCAAUGCCACGUUGCUGUUGCUUCUCUUGUACACAUCACACAAACAUCAGAUUUUGAUUAUUCUCAAACGACAAUGUCAGACAAGAUACGAGAAGCGACAGCAUUCCAGAGGCAAUACUAAGGAUGGCAAAUUUACCCACGGGUAUGCGUACCCGCGGGUACCGUACCCGCAUGGGCAGGGUAUGGGUACACUUUUAUGCCCAUGGGUAGUACCCAUACCCUGCCCGUUAAGUCAUGGGCAGGGCACGGGCAUAGCUUCGUACCCGCGGGUAUACCCAUACCCUGCACAUUUAUUGUUAAAUUCUUACGUGACACGUCUAUUUCUGUUGACUUAUGAGUUAGAAUAUGAGAAUGUGAUUUUUAUAUUAUGUUAAUUGUUAUGUACUCAACUAACUAUUAUUUAGUUGAGAUAAUUAAUUUUUUAAUCGAAAUUGUUAUCGAU